AAACAACAUAAACAAGCCUCAUUUGCGUCUUGGGCCACUUUUCAUCCUUUGUAGGUAGGGUUAUGAUACGAGCUAACCUUCUAUUGACGUUUGUCCUGUUGUCUUAACACACAUAGAGCCUCCAUUGUCACUGACUAGUGUUUGUGUAAACAACAUUUUGUUAUCAAAGCCUGGGCUAUUCGUAACCCGUGUGCCAUUAAGUUGACGAUUCAAUUCAACGAGCUAACAACGUCUAGCUUGUCUUUUUUGUACCUCUAAACUAACGUAACAUUGGGAUUUAUUGUUUAGCUUGCUCGUCUCGUGUUCAAAAAUAACUGCAGCACCUCGAGCAGAGGCUAACGUUGCUCAGCCCUUUACAGGAAUGUCUUUCAUUUUGUGGGGGGACACUUUAGAAUGUAGCACGGCUUUAAUAAAACACCCGAACUGUUCUGGUUUUGCCCUGCCUGCUGUCAAGAGGAUUUGUGUCAAAUUUCGCCUCCUUUUACACGUUGGCACACCAGCUUGUUUACAUAAUGCACAGCGGACGUCAACUGAGAACGCUGCCUGUUUUUGUCUUUUGUUCCAACUCUUGUUCGCUAAAGCGCCUGCCCUGUUGUGCGAUCAAAUGAGAUCUCGCAGAAUGUGUCGGAAAAUGUGUCGCUUUUCCAAGAGCACUCGCGCAGCUGUCACUUGAACGGCUAGCUUGUGUGUUAGCUUAGCGAGCUAGCGACAAGUCUUGUUGGUUGGGUUUUUUUUUUUUUUCAACAUCAAAAUGGCCACCUGAUCUCCCCGAGGCUCACCGUACUGUACUUGUGGAGCCGCCUGGCAAACACAGCACAAGCCCGACGUGUGCCCUUUUUUUUCUCAUUUAUUGAAACAUUCGUUGAAAAUAGGUGACCCCGUGGCAGGCAGGUGAAGGUGCACUGCAGGUGUUGCGAGGCCAACUUUUCACGCGUCUUGUUUAUUGUCAAGUCGUCGUGUUUUUGUCUUUGAAAUUUAUGCUGACAGCUGGAGCUGCUUUUUAAAAUUUUUUAUAAAUACUCCUGUUCUAGAAGGACAGUAAUUUUUUUGUUUUUGUCCCAGCCCAGUGAAGCCUAAUCAUUGGGUGGGCUGUUACUAGACAGAAAACACAUGUGGGAGGUGCUUAGAACAGCUGAUGGGGUGGCAGUAAAGCUUUAGUCAGAUGUGUGCCUUCCCCACUGGGUUGCUCCUAAUAAGGGGAAGUUGUCCUGGAACUGUCUGCAUUGAAUCAAGUCGGGUCAUUUCUGCGUUGCAUGACAAUGCAUGUUUGUGUAACCCUGCCGGCAAUGUUCAGGAAGAGUUUUUCGCCACCGCGGGACUCAUUUGCUGAUCCUUGUCCUUACAGCACCCCCCUUUAACUGCCGUAAACCAAAACCAGAAAGUGGGCGAGCCACCCGAGAGCUUCGGAAUCUAGAGCGAGAGGAUCGUGAGGGAAUACCUGAAAAUGAAAAUCGGUGUGUCGUCGUGCCGAGAUUUGUCCGGUUGAUGUUAUUGCGACCGGCCUUCAUGUGUGAUGGCAUUCCAGUCACAUGACUGCGUGGUACUAUUUUAAUGAGAUGAUAACGCCAUCUCUUUUGCGACAUGAAAUCGCAUUAGCGACAGGAUUUUUUUCUUCCCUCACUUUGUUUUUGCCUUGCUAUUAUUUGCACUUGUCAUCCAUCGCCUGCUUGCUUUGCCCGCGCUUUCUAGCAGCGAGCCGCUGGAAUUCGAGCACAGGUUGACCACAAAGGACUUAAGCCCAUGGUGAAUGCGAGCUCUUGUGGCAUCUGGAUGGUGGAAUUUGGCGCUAGGGAACAGGGCGGAACAGAAACGCUUCAUAUGUAGUUAAUAUUCGUGGAAAUGUGUUGUAAACGGGUUGAGAUCGUAACAAUGUAUAAAGCUGACACGCAUCAAUGAUUUGUAUUUCGCUGUCUGUUAACUGCACUUUUCUGGUGUGUUCUUAGGGAAAUGGUUCCCUUUUGAAAUGUCGUUACCUUCCGGCGGCUGCAUAGACGUCGUAUUCUACCUUUCAGUCACCGCUGAAAGGUCUUGUAAAUGAUUGUGUAGUAGUUCUGUGAAGCAUGGCGACUCACGAUUUAUAUUCAGCACGGUGGGGAGUUGAGGUCCGUGCCUCAGCGCUUAGCACCCCCUCCGGUCUCUAUCGUGACGCGUUUGGGGUCUUUUGUCGGCUAUUUUUGUAUCCCUCCAGGUGAGUGCGACGAGGCCCGAGUGUCGACGCAGCGUUUUGCCCUCAAGCAACUGAUUUAUUCACAGUCAGGGGUCAGUUUAAAAAAAAAUAAUAAUUUGAGGCCCCCCCUCCCAGUUCCACACAGCUCGCUCGCUCACCUCCCUCCUGAGGCUGAAUGCCAAAUCGGUGCUUUAUCCACUCUCCACUUGGUCAUUCAGCCUCCCCCAUUGUUGAGCUACUAAACCACGACAUCCGGAUAGCAUCAGCGGCCUCGAGUUCUUUUGUCUUUUUUUUUUUUUUUUUCUGUGACCUCGGCCUCCUGCUACCGGCUAAAUCCAAGCUGCUGAAGCUGCACUGGUCCAAAAGAAGGGGUUGUCAGACUGACUGAUUGAUGGAUUGAUUUGAUCGGUGUGUGAGAAAUUGUCUUGAGAACAGACGGUGAACGGUGACAAUCACGCCAUGUUUUUGUGGUUUCGUUUUUUUUUUUUUUGCAGCAUGUUGCUUGUAUGCAUGGCUGAGUUCUCCUGAAAAAAACAAAAAACAGAUGGACUCAAUUUUCAGUUGUUUGUUUUUUCCCCAGCCAUUCACUCCCAACCACGGCUCCUUCAUUUCCAUUGAUCCAAGAUAAAUAAGCAGGCCGGUUCAUCAAUUCCAUGAUUGUCAAGGCAAUGUUGUUGCAUCAUGUGUGUCCGAUGACCUCAUGAACCUUUGUCUCCCUUAUCGGCUCCCCUUUUGACGUAAAUAGGCCGUUGAUUCGGUCCGAGAGGAGGAGCGUCGCAGGGAGUCGCUUUUGAUUGCGGUGGGUGGGCUUUCGUUUUCUAAACCGACGAGACAAAAGACUCGCAUACAGGGAAGGAUCAGCCCGGGCCUGUUGUAGUAGAGCCUGAAUUUGCAUGGCAAUGCUAUUAAAAUAGGCAAGCACUGAGCCCAAAGCAUUUUAUUUUUUUCAGAAGUACAGUCGGCAGUGGAUUAUUUCCCCCUUAAAAGUAGAAAUGUGAUUUCAGUAUACAGCGGCCAGCCCUCGGGUCUCUAUUGCCAUUGAUAUGUAAAAACCACUGCGAGGUUCUUUUUCCUCAGACCACACAUGCCGAUACCAAACGGCCCAUUUUGUUUUUCAUCGCGGCAACGGAUACCACGGCGUCCUUCGAGCAGACCCUCCAAGCUUAGCUGGCUUAGCAGAUGGGUUUUGACAGUUGAGCCCCCCUUUCCACCAAUUCAAGACGGGUCUUAGCAAAGCUAGCGUCACUCCCACAGCAGCGCCAGCCCCGGUCGCCAUUCUUCACCAGUCAUAUGCGCAUUUCGCUCUGUGCAGCAUUCCAAAGAUGCGCCGCACGCGUUUGCAUGUGAGCAAAUUGAAUUCUCCUCAGGGGGGUGCGGCUGUGCAUAGUCAAUUUUGACUGGAUGGCGGCGGAAUCACUCGAGUUGUAUUUGCUUUGACUGUGGUUUUAGUUUCCAUCUGUUGUGGUAAAUGAUGACAUUAUUGUAGUAGGGAAGAAGCAGAAAAAUCUUUUUGAUUCAUUAAAUAAUCGUUUUGGGUCACUUUAGCUCAUGUUAUGUACUAUAUUUGCAACUAAAAGUAGGUGAGUGACAUGGGCGUCAGGAAAUUUGAGUGAAUAAGUUGACUUUAGUGAGCUCAGAUUAGCAUCUGGCUGGUAACUGGCUAAUUGUUAGCCACCGCCGUAGCAUCUUGCUAAUGAAUGUCCUUUUGUGUUUAUUAUUAUUAUUUUUAAACUGUGCCUAUUUUUGGGGUUUUCAAUAGUUCUAUGUAGCACUAUGUUAACAUUAAUAUCCUGUUUUUUUGUUGUAUGGUUUGGUUGUAAUUUGUAACGUACACUUUUCAUGCCCGUCGUCACGUCGCUGCUGUAAUUUUUCGGAAGAGGAAACUCCCACGCCGGUUGGACGGCUGCAAUACUUCCUGCCUUUUAUCUUUAAGGCCCUUACCCGCAAACCCAUGCUACGAGUUCAAGCACUUAACAGACAUUUUAAUAUUCUUAAAUCAAUAUUUGUGCCCGUAAUAGACAUUUUUAGUCAGUAGUUGACAGCUGUUGUAAGUGGAGUAACUUGAUUACCACCACUUCUUUUGUUUGGACUUGUUGUAGAGCUGUCGGGGUUCAGUUUGGUGUUUCUAAAAAUAGCACGCCUAUCGUGCCGUCACACAUUGGAACACUGCCGCCGAACAAUUUCAGGAACAACAAUAUUUGGUAUGGGGUGUGUAUAAUUGUGUACCACAAGGCUUUUAUACGAGCCCACUUUUGUUUUGGAACUCUUCUGCGAAUUACUGGAUAGCUUCUAAAUCUGUCGUUACAUUGUAACACUGCAGUGGCAACUCAUUUUCAUGUUUGACUUGUGUUGAAAUGUUUGACUUGUCAUCCAUAGGUCGCAUUGCAAAGCGAUGAUGUCAUUUAGCCUUCAAGGGAAAGAUGUCUCUCACUAGCUUUUGCCAUCGCUCUUUCACCUUCUCUUCAUUCCCCCACGUUCGCAGCUCGCCGCUUUGUUGGCUGACCUUAUUCUAGCCUAACGCUGCUUUCGGAGGACUGCAGUCUAUUAGCUUCAUCUUUGAUUUCAGCUAAAGUGCAUACGGUCGGGCGGCGGCGCAUAAUGAGCAAUGUUGUUGAGCUUUCGGCCGUCACGUGUUCUUAAGUUGCUCGAGGGACGUCAACCUUUCGUUUGCCAGAGAAGCUCGGUUAUGGCUUCCAUUCCACGUCAGCUGGUGGUCAGUAGUAGAUGCUGUUUUAUGAGUUGCUAUUAUUAUUAGAUUAUGUGGUGAUAGAUAUUUAUAGGGAUGUUGUGUACUUGAAAUGUGACAAUGAUGCAAUUUGUCUUCCUCAUUUUAAAACAAAUUUGACAUGAUGGGAGGCAGUUUAAAAAAAAAAAAAAAGUAAGUUCCCUGCCUUGUUUGUUUUCCAUACUUGGAAAGAUGUUGGUCAGGACGGGAUAUUUUUAAGGAAUGAAAAUAAGACAUGUCUACACCACAAGCACCAUUUGCAGCAUAUUUCUGCCCUUGAACCACUUUGAAAAGUUAAACUGUGGUCAGCGAGGGAUAAAUGCUUAAUUGUAGUAGAGAAAGUAGUUUGUCAGGCUUGUUUAUAACUUGUGCUCCACAUGUUUUUCAGGUGCUUUUGCAAAGUAAGUUUUGAUAAGGGAUUGAUUCUGUUUAGGUUUGGCUGUGUGUGUGUGGUUAAAAAGAUAAUGACAACCGGUGCAAACCACAGAUUAUGACUUAUCUAUACUAAUCCAAGGUAAAGGAGAGUGGGGGUGUAGCUCGGCGUAGAACCUGGCGUCGCUUCCAAACGAUAAUGAAUCGAACUUAGUUAAAAGAAGCCAUUUGAAACAGUAAAGAAAAAAAAAAUUGCACUGUUUAAUUUUUUUUCCACAGGUCCAAUUUCAGGGCCUCGAGUCGCACGAUGUUAGCACGCUAACACCUCGCAAUCUCUUGGACGUCCUUCGAAAGUCACCGCCCGGCGUCUCGACCCAGGCCAAGCGGUGACACGUUUAGCUGGCUCAGGUCAGGGAUUCCGCUCGCUUUCGCCCGAGCUUAAAAUAACCCUUCGGUUUGAUUUGACCCCUUGGGGAGGGGGGAGGUGGGUGGGGUCACUGCAAAAAUCUAAUAGGAUACACACUCCAGUAGGACUGACAAGCCAGCUGCUACUAUCUGUGCAGUUAAAGAGACUUCCUACUUUAAAAAAAAAAAAAAGAAAAAA